CCGCGUGUAUGAAGAAGGCCUUCGGGUUGUAAAGUACUUUCAGCGGGGAGGAAGGUGUUGUGGUUAAUAACCGCAGCAAUUGACGUUACCCGCAGAAGAAGCACCGGCUAACUCCGUGCCAGCAGCCGCGGUAAUACGGAGGGUGCAAGCGUUAAUCGGAAUUACUGGGCGUAAAGCGCACGCAGGCGGUCUGUCAAGUCGGAUGUGAAAUCCCCGGGCUCAACCUGGGAACUGCAUUCGAAACUGGCAGGCUAGAGUCUUGUAGAGGGGGGUAGAAUUCCAGGUGUAGCGGUGAAAUGCGUAGAGAUCUGGAGGAAUACCGGUGGCGAAGGCGGCCCCCUGGACAAAGACUGACGCUCAGGUGCGAAAGCGUGGGGAGCAAACAGGAUUAGAUA
rnacentral:rRNA from 1 species